rnacentral:rRNA from 1 species
AUUGAACGCUGGCGGCAGGCUUAACACAUGCAAGUCGAGCGAGCGGCGGAAGGGUGAGUAAUGUCUGGGAAACUGCCUGAUGGAGGGGGAUAACUACUGGAAACGGUAGCUAAUACCGCAUACCAUCAGAUGUGCCCAGAUGGGAUUAGCUAGUAGGGGGGGUAAUGGCUCACCUAGGCGACGAUACCUAGCUGGUCUGCGAGGAUGACCAGCCACAUGGGAACUGAGACACGGUCCAGACUCCUACGGGAGGCAGCAGUGGGGAAUAUUGGACAAUGGGCGCAAGCCUGAUGCAGCCAUGCCGCGUGUGUGAAGAAGGCCUUCGGGUUGUAAAGCACUUUCAGCGGGGAGGCGUUACCCGCAGAAUAAGCACCGGCUAACUCCGUGCCAGCAGCCGCGGUAAUAC